rnacentral:rRNA from 1 species
GAUGAACGCUGGCGUCGUGCUUAACACAUGCAAGUCGAACGGUGAAGCCAAGCUUGCUUGGUGGAUCAGUGGCGAACGGGUGAGUAACACGUGAGCAACCUGCCCUGGACUCUGGGAUAAGCGCUGGAAACGGCGUCUAAUACUGGAUAUGAGCCUUCAUCGCAUGGUGGGGGUUGGAAAGAUUUUUUGGUCUGGGAUGGGCUCGCGGCCUAUCAGCUUGUUGGUGAGGUAAUGGCUCACCAAGGCGUCGACGGGUAGCCGGCCUGAGAGGGUGACCGACCACACUAGGACUGAGACACGGCUCAGACUCCUACGGGAGGCAGCAGUGGUGAAUAUUGCACAAUGGGCGAAAGCCUGAUGCAGCAACGCCGCGUGAGGGAUGACGGCCUUCGGGUUGUAAACCUCUUUUAGCAGGGAAGAAGCGAAAGUGACGGUACCUGCAGAAAAAGCGCCGGCUAACUACGUGCCAGCAGCCGCAGUAAUAC